UAUGAAUUUCAUAAAGUCAUUGUUUGUGGUA
rnacentral:piRNA from 1 species